UGUUGUAUGGAGGUUAAGCAUUUUGUAGUGUGGAAUAAUUUAAUAGAGUUACUGAAAGGCUGAAUCUUGUCCAUCUUAAGGAGUUCUACAGGAAGACUACAUCAAAAAUAUUUUGCUCAUCUAACUGUAUUCUGAAACACAGCACUUCAACUGGCUUUCUAAUAAAAAAAAACAAAUAAAAACUAAGUGGUCUGAGCCUCUAAUGUUCCGAUGUUGCGUGGCCUCAAUUAUCUGCUUGUAAUCCAGUCUGCCUGGAGGUUGUGCCCAUGUCUGCCACUUUCGUCACCCGGUUGUCAGCAGUUGUCCCCCAAUGUCUAUUUCGGAUGCUUAUUUACAGCUUGUCUAUUCUGAACGGGGAGUGGGGAAGCACGGAGGGGGUUGGAGGUCCAGGAGACAAUAGAUAAGACAGUGGUGGAGCUGAGUCGACAGCUCCCCAGCUAGUUUUACACUUAAAGAGUGGAGGGGUAUUUAUAUUCAGCUGGUAAGGCAGGUUAUUGAAUUUGCACAGCGAUGACUGAUGCAUGCAGAGUACAGGGGUAACACUAGACAUUGUGGUUGUGUUGUGACGACAAGUGAGAAAUUUCAAUGGGGCCGCACGCCAAACAACAACCCGACCGAGAAGAUGGCGUCUCCCCAACCGGCAAAGUAGGACAAAGACACCUGUUCCUUGUCCCUACUUCUCUUGUGGUUUUAAUUUGGCCCUUGCUCUACUUAUUUCUUUUCCACCAGACCAAGACUUUUUAUUACUCUCACACCAUUCCCUCUUCCUCACCCCUCAAUCUGUCAAUCUCUUUCUCCCUUUCUCCCAAAAUGCCAUAACUGCAAACCUGGCACGAGCCGCGGAUAAAUGAUUCCACACGUGAAAUAAAGGCACGACGCUUAUUAUAGGCAUUACAGACUGCGUUCUUUAUGGAUUGCACCCUUUCAGAGGGGAUAAAAAGAGGCUUUUCAAGCAAGCUGAAACAAUGACGAGCAAUAAACCAAAUAUGCUGAAAGGAGACUUGCCGAGAAAGGCGUUGACAACAUCGUUAAAGCUGUAGAGAAAUGAACCAGGGGUGCUGAACAAAAACCAAAAGAGACUCAGUUUCAGGUGGCAAGCCGCAGAGUCACCUUCCCUUUGGCCAAAACAUUAUAGGCCACAUGUUAAACUGCACUCCCCAUAAGCAGCAGCAGCAGCAGCACCACUAGAGCCUCAUACUGCUGCAGCAGCGCUACAUAGAGACAUCUUUCUCUUAAUACAAUUCAUUCAUGGCAGGUUCUGUCAGAUAAAGCUCGGAGAUGCACUUCAGGGAGACGCAGGGCUCCAUCUGUUCUGCGGCAUUGUGGUUUUGAUGCAGCGUCUUCCUUGUACUUCAACUGUUUACAUAUCACACAAACUCCGGAAAUGCUCAAUUAGUUAAUUCAGAUAUUUAAUUUGUGCAUCAAGGGAUGUGAUCCGUAUGAUCUCUGGAGCUGUGCCAUGUUUGGAUUCACAGCUGUCUGCUGUGAAAUUUACCACCUAACCCCCCUUAAACUCCCCCCAUCUAAAAAAAAAAAAAAAGAAGAAAAAUCCACACCCAUCCCAAGCGCUAAUGGGAGUCUGAGUUACCCCCGCUCUCUCAGACAGAAGCAUCACUGCAUUAGUCUCUGCAUUUUAAAACAGCUAUGGUCGUCUACGCUGCGUUAAGGAAUACUGCAUAUAUGUGUGUGUUUGUGGAUGUAUGUGUGUAGAUGUGUGUGAGACAGUUAAUGAGGAAUGUCUGCUGUUCUAAAUAAUACAAGAGAGGGGAACCUUUAGAUUGUCUUCUUUGUUUCCUCUCUUUCUUGUCUUCUCUUCCUCUUAAUGUCAGACAGUCUGUCAUUGAAAGUCACACAGACACAUCCUAUUGCACUUAACAGAAGAAAAAAAAAAUCCCUUUUUUUUCUCACAGGACAUCUAACAAAGUCAGGACUUUCUUAAUAAAUAUAAUGCAGAACUCAACUUUUACCCAACAAACGCUGAGAAAUCUGCACAAUUUAUAGCCAUACCUACACGCAUACACACUAAGCACCUCUUGUCCUUAUAUACUGCAUCCCCUCCACCUACACUUCACACUCUGCACACAAACACCAAGUCAUAAAUCGCAGCAUUAAGUCAAAUAAUGAUUGCACUGCAUUGAAAAUUCAAUGGCUGGGGCUUAAUGCCCAUGAAUCGCCAGGUAGAUUAAGCUAUGGGUGUGUAUUUGUGUGUGCUUCAUGAGUGUGUAAGGUGCGGGGGGGGGGGGGGGGGGGUGUUAAUGGAUCAAUAGGAGUUCUAUGAUCAGUACCUCACAGACAGGAACCUCACAGACAGUCUGCUCACACAACACAUAUUGCAUUUUGGAUGGCAUGCAUUUACACUGUCUUCAAAAAAGAGAGUGGAGUAGCGGGAACGGAGCAGGCUGGAGGCUGCAUGUGUGUGUAUGUAAGUGUGCUUAAGUGCGCAGGUAAAGAUAUCACUCUCAUGCAUUUGUAUGUGUGUGUCCGUGUUAGUACGCCUGUUUUAACCUGAUUGCAUGUGUGUGUGUGUGUGUGAGGAGGAAGGGUUACUUUCGGGAGAUGCUGUUCCCUGGGCAGCAUCUGUAUUAGUGAUCUAAUGUUCAUGUGAAUAAUUGAUUAGGACCUCUCUGUGUUUUUGAUAAUUAGUUGAUAGCUUCUUAGCUCUAAGCCCUAAGAUUUCACGUAUGUGUGUGUGAGAGAGAGGAAGUAUGAGAUUGUGUGUAUGUGGUUGGGGGUAGGUAGUCCACAUCUAAAGGUAUCCUGAAAACAAUAGCUCUCAUAAAGAGAAAAAAAAAAAAGGUUUCCUCUAAGCCAUGCACACAUGGAUUAGCUUUCUUCUGAAAUGAGGCAACAUUACUUUUAUUUAUUUUUUUCACAUAACCUCAUUUAAUUUUGUAGUCUCUUACCUGUGAACUCUAAAAAAGUAAAGAGAAACUUCAGAUGAACAAUCUCAGAUAUUUCAUGUAUGAUUAAAAAUUUAAAAAAAGCUGCAGAACCAUGACAUUUCCAAUUUUUCAACAUAUUCACUUAACCAGAGCAAACAACAAUAAACAUUGCAUGUAUGAAAAGAUUUCAAUUGAUAUUCAUUUCUAGCCUCUCAGUGGUCCCCUGCCUUAUUGAUUUUUCUAUCUUUCAUAUGCUUAUGCAUCAAGUAAAAACAGAAUAGGAAAGUUUCAGCACGCUUAGAUCAUACUCAAAUCCCAGCACUGAAGUAGAGGGUUUGUUGCCAUCGUCUGCGACCUUGAAAAAUAAAGAUGUUCUGCUGCAACACACAGACCCAUAGAGAUACUUUGUUUUUUUAUGGUCUCAUGCAUGCAUAGAAUGGUUUCUUUCAGAUGUGUGUGUGUGUGUGUGUGUGUGUGUGUGUGUGUGUGUGUGUGUGUGUGUGUGUGUGUGUGUGUGUGUGUGUGUGUGUGUGUUCGGUAUGUUUAGCUGGCUUAUGCUUACAAUAUCAUGAUAAAUGCUUUAAUCAAUCCAAGGAUUAUUAGAUUAAUAAGCAAAUACAUUCAUUCAUUGCAUCAAUGGUUUGUGAUAAGAGGCAGCUACAGCAUUUCCUGUGUCUUUUAGUGGCCUUACAUGACUGAUAUGCUGAGGCAGAGCAGGAAGACCUUAUUAGAAGGACGUCUUGUUUCCUCUUAUCUGGACGAGGCUCAGUACAAAGGGAUGCUGUUUAGGAUAAAACGUCGUAUAAGGGGGCAAGUAGAAGAAGAGGGCACGUCCAAUCACAGGCUGAGUUUUUGUUUUCUCCUUUUAAAUGGAAGCUCGGGACAAUGGAGAAUGUCAGGAUGUGACAACGGACGACAAGAUGUAAAGAGAUGAGGAGAGGGAGAGGAGCAUGGCCAAUCAAAAGCAGAGUGUUCACAGGGUCAAAGGUCAAUCUCCAGAGUCGGUUAAUGUCGUCACCGUGGGAACCGAUCAAUCUCAGGGCUGCGGCAGUAUCGAUCAGGCGUUGGCACACAUGGACACGCAAUAAUUAUUUUUGACACACACACACACACACACACACCACCCAGCUUUCAUUUACUUUUACAAAGUGUCGUCUGCUCUCAGUCAAACAAAAAGCGACUUUAAAUGCAUUGUCAGGCGCAGGCUCAAUCAAAGCUGCUCAACUAAGAGGCUGUGGACAAAACUGGGCGACAGAAACUGUUUGAAAUUUCAACUGCAAGUAGAAAUAAAGUUCUUUCUUUGUCCCAGGCUUGUAUUGUAAAAAAAGACAUUUGUCGAGAA